GCAGUGGUGGUUCAGUAUUAGAAUUCUUGUCUUCCACACAGGAGACCUGGUGCUAUUCCCAGUCAGUGUA
rnacentral:tRNA from 1 species